rnacentral:rRNA from 1 species
AACGAACGCUGGCGGCAUGCCUAACACAUGCAAGUCGAACGAGACCUUCGGGUCUAGUGGCGCACGGGUGCGUAACGCGUGGGAACCUGCCCUUAGGUUCGGAAUAACUCCCCGAAAGGGGUGCUAAUACCGGAUAAUGUCUUCGGACCAAAGAUUUAUCGCCUUUGGAUGGCCGCGUUGGAUUAGCUAGUUGGUAGGGUAAAAGCCUACCAAGGCGACGAUCCAUAGCUGGUCUGAGAGGAUGAUCAGCCACACUGGGACUGAGACACGGCCCAGACUCCUACGGGAGGCAGCAGUGGGGAAUAUUGGACAAUGGGCGAAAGCCUGAUCCAGCAAUGCCGCGUGAGUGAUGAAGGCCUUAGGGUUGUAAAGCUCUUUUACCCGGGAUGAUAAUGACAGUACCGGGAGAAUAAGCUCCGGCUAACUCCGUG